rnacentral:rRNA from 1 species
UGAGGUUAAGUUAACAAGGGCGCAUGGUGAAUGCCUUGGCACUAGGAGCCGAUGAAGGACGGGACUAACACCGAUAUGCUUCGGGGAGCUGUACGUAAGCUAUGAUCCGGAGAUUUCCGAAUGGGGCAACCCAGCAGUUUUAAUCAACUGUUACCACUAGAUGAAUUCAUAGUCUAGUUGGAGGUAAACGCUGUGAACUGAAACAUCUCAUUAGCAGCAGGAAUAUAAAGAAAUUUCGAUUCCCUAAGUAGCGGCGAGCGAACGGGGAACAGCCCAAACCAAAGUGCUUGCACUUUGGGGUUGUAGGACUGAACAUUUGAGUUACCAAAGAACUUGAUAGUCGAAGGAUUUGGGAAAAUCCGCCAUAGAUGGUGAUAGCCCAGUAGAUUAAAUCAAAUUCUCUCAGUUCAGGAUCCUGAGUACGGCGGAACACGUGAAAUUCCGUCGGAAUCCGGGAGGACCAUCUCCCAAGGCUAAAUACUACCUAGUGACCGAUAGUGAACCAGUACCGUGAGGGAAAGGUGAAAAGCACCCCGGGAGGGGAGUGAAAUAGUUCCUGAAACCAUGUGCCUACAAUAAGUCAGAGCGCGUUAAUGCGUGAUGGCGUGCCUUUUGUAGAAUGAACCGGCGAGUUAUGAUCCCGUGCAAGGUUAAGACUAAAAAGUCGGAGCCGUAGCGAAAGCGAGUCUGAAAUGGGCGUUUUGAGUACGAGGUUAUAGACCCGAAACCAGGUGACCUAUCCAUGUCCAGGUUGAAGGUGCGGUAAAACGCACUGGAGGACCGAACCCGUGUAAGUUGAAAAUUGCUGGGAUGAGGUGUGGAUAGCGGUGAAAUUCCAAACGAACUUGGAGAUAGCUGGUUCUCUCCGAAAUAGCUUUAGGGCUAGCCUCGGAAUUAGGAUCAUGGAGGUAGAGCACUAUUUGGACUAGGGGCCCGUCUUGGGUUACUGAAUUCAGAUAAACUCCGAAUGCCAUUGAUUCAUAUCCGGGAGUCAGACGAUGAGUGAUAAGAUCCACCGUCGAAAGGGGAACAGCCCAGACCAUCAGUUAAGGUCCCUAAAUGUAUGCUAAGUGGAAAAGGAUGUGGAGUUGCAUAGACAACUAGGAUGUUGGCUCAGAAGCAGCCACCAUUUAAAGAGUGCGUAAUAGCUCACUAGUCGAGUGAUCCUGCGCCGAAAAUGUACCGGGGCUAAGCAUACUACCGAAACCAUGGAUGCGACCAUUAGGUCGCGUGAUAGGAGAGCGUUCUAAGGGCGGUGAAGCAAGAUCGUGAGGACUUGUGGAGCGCUUAGAAGUGAGAAUGCCGGUAUGAGUAGCGAAAGAUAGGUGAGAAUCCUAUCCACCGAAUGACUAAGGUUUCCUGGGGAAGGCUCGUCCUCCCAGGGUUAGUCGGGACCUAAGUCGAGGCCGAGAGGCGUAGACGAUGGAUAACAGGUUGAGAUUCCUGUACUAGUUAAGUGCGUUUGAGCAAUGGAGGGACGCAGGAGGCUAAGAUGUGCAUUCUGUUGGAUUAGAAUGUCCAAGCAGUAAGUCUUGUGAAGAGUCAAAUGCUUUUCACUUUAAGGACAAGCUGUGAUGGGGAGCGAAAUUUAGUAGCGAAGCGUCUGAUGUCACACUGCCGAGAAAAGCUUCUAGUGAGUACUUAACUACCCGUACCGCAAACCGACACAGGUAGUCGAGGAGAGAAUCCUAAGGUGAGCGAGUGAACUCUCGUUAAGGAACUCGGCAAAAUGACCCCGUAACUUCGGGAGAAGGGGUGCUGAUCGCAAGAUCAGCCGCAGUGAAUAGGCCCAGGCGACUGUUUAUCAAAAACACAGGUCUCUGCAAAAUCGUAAGAUGACGUAUAGGGGCUGACGCCUGCCCGGUGCUGGAAGGUUAAAAGGAUGGGUUAGCUUCGGCGAAGCUCAGAAUUGAAGCCCCAGUAAACGGCGGCCGUAACUAUAACGGUCCUAAGGUAGCGAAAUUCCUUGUCGGGUAAGUUCCGACCCGCACGAAAGGCGUAACGAUCUGGGCACUGUCUCAAC